rnacentral:tRNA from 1 species
UCCUCGUUAAUACAGUGGUAAGUAUCCCUGCCUGUCACUCAGGAGACUGGAGUUUGAUUCCCCGAUGGGGAG